GGGGGUUUAGCUCAGUGGUAGAGCGCUUGCCUAGCAAGCACAAGGCCCUGGGUUCGGUCCCCAGCUCCA
rfam:Rattus norvegicus chromosome 3, whole genome shotgun sequence.